AAAGAGGCUUUCUUUAAAGCCACUGAAAGGUUUUACGCAGUAGAGU
rfam:Loxodonta africana unplaced genomic scaffold scaffold_4, whole genome shotgun sequence.